rnacentral:rRNA from 1 species
GACGAACGCUGGCGGCGUGCUUAACACAUGCAAGUCGAACGGUGAAAGGGAGCUUGCUCCCUGGAUCAGUGGCGAACGGGUGAGUAACACGUGGGCAACCUGCCCCAGACUUCGGGAUAACGCUUCGAAAGAGGUGCUAAUACCGGAUACGAACUCCUUGGGCAUCCUUGGAGUUGGAAAGUUUUUCGGUCUGGGAUGGGCCCGCGGCCUAUCAGCUUGUUGGUGAGGUAACGGCUCACCAAGGCGACGACGGGUAGCCGGCCUGAGAGGGCGACCGGCCACACUGGGACUGAGACACGGCCCAGACUCCUACGGGAGGCAGCAGUGGGGAAUUUUGGACAAUGGGCGCAAGCCUGAUCCAGCCAUGCCGCGUGCGGGAAGAAGGCCUUCGGGUUGUAAACCGCUUUUGGCAGGAACGAAACGGCGCAAGCUAAUACCUUGCGCUAAUGACGGUACCUGCAGAAUAAGCACCGGCUAACUACGUGCCAG